rnacentral:rRNA from 1 species
UUUAUGGAGAGUUUGAUCCUGGCUCAGGAUGAACGCUGGCGGCGUGCCUAAUACAUGCAAGUCGAGCGAACGGACGAGAAGCUUGCUUCUCUGAUGUUAGCGGCGGACGGGUGAGUAACACGUGGAUAACCUACCUAUAAGACUGGGAUAACUUCGGGAAACCGGAGCUAAUACCGGAUAAUAUUUUGAACCGCAUGGUUCAAAAGUGAAAGACGGUCUUGCUGUCACUUAUAGAUGGAUCCGCGCUGCAUUAGCUAGUUGGUAAGGUAACGGCUUACCAAGGCAACGAUGCAUAGCCGACCUGAGAGGGUGAUCGGCCACACUGGAACUGAGACACGGUCCAGACUCCUACGGGAGGCAGCAGUAGGGAAUCUUCCGCAAUGGGCGAAAGCCUGACGGAGCAACGCCGCGUGAGUGAUGAAGGUCUUCGGAUCGUAAAACUCUGUUAUUAGGGAAGAACAUAUGUGUAAGUAACUGUGCACAUCUUGACGGUACCUAAUCAGAAAGCCACGGCUAACUACGUGCCAGCAGCCGCGGUAAUACGUAGGUGGCAAGCGUUAUCCGGAAUUAUUGGGCGUAAAGCGCGCGUAGGCGGUUUUUUAAGUCUGAUGUGAAAGCCCACGGCUCAACCGUGGAGGGUCAUUGGAAACUGGAAAACUUGAGUGCAGAAGAGGAAAGUGGAAUUCCAUGUGUAGCGGUGAAAUGCGCAGAGAUAUGGAGGAACACCAGUGGCGAAGGCGACUUUCUGGUCUGUAACUGACGCUGAUGUGCGAAAGCGUGGGGAUCAAACAGGAUUAGAUACCCUGGUAGUCCACGCCGUAAACGAUGAGUGCUAAGUGUUAGGGGGUUUCCGCCCCUUAGUGCUGCAGCUAACGCAUUAAGCACUCCGCCUGGGGAGUACGACCGCAAGGUUGAAACUCAAAGGAAUUGACGGGGACCCGCACAAGCGGUGGAGCAUGUGGUUUAAUUCGAAGCAACGCGAAGAACCUUACCAAAUC